GACGAACGCUGGCGGCACGCUUAACACAUGCAAGUCGAACGAAAAUGUUUCACCGUAGCUUGCUACACCGAGACAUUUUAGUGGCGGACGGGUGAGUAACACGUGAGGAACCUGCCUAUCAGAGAGGGAUACCCGUUUGGAAACGAACGUUAAUACCCCAUAACGUAACGAGAUCGCAUGAUAAUGUUACCAAAGAUUUAUUGCUGAAAGAUGGUCUCGCGUCUGAUUAGCUAGUUGGUGAGGUAACGGCUCACCAAGGCGACGAUCAGUAGCCGGUCUGAGAGGAUGAACGGCCACAUUGGGACUGAGAUACGGCCCAGACUCCUACGGGAGGCAGCAGUGGGGAAUAUUGGGCAAUGGGGGAAACCCUGACCCAGCAACGCCGCGUGAAGGAAG
rnacentral:rRNA from 1 species